GUGUCAGCCGCCGCGGUAAGACAGAGGGUGCAAACGUUGUUCGGAAUUACUGGGCGUAAAGCGCGUGUAGGCGGCAGGGCAUGUCGGAUGUGAAAUCCCGUGGCUCAACCACGGAAGUGCACCCGAAACUGCCCAGCUCGAGUCUCGGAGAGGAAGGCGGAAUGCUUGGUGUAGAGGUGAAAUUCGUAGAUAUCAAGCGGAACACCGGUGGCGAAGGCGGCCUUCUGGACGAUGACUGACGCUGAGACGCGAAAGCGUGGGGAGCAAACAGGAUUAGAAACCCCCGUAGUCC
rnacentral:rRNA from 1 species